UGCGCAGCGGCAUCAUCUGG
rnacentral:misc_RNA from 1 species